rnacentral:tRNA from 1 species
GGGGUUGUGGCUCAGCGGUAGAGCGCUGACCUCGCAUGUGCGGAGACCCUGGGUUCGAUCCUCAUCACCACA